CUACGGGUGGCAGCAGUGGGGAAUAUUGGGCAAUGGGCGCAAGCCUGACCCAGCAACGCCGCGUGAGGGAAGAAGGUUUUCGGAUUGUAAACCUCUGUCCUUGGGGACGAAGAAGUGACGGUACCCAAGGAGGAAGCUCCGGCUAACUACGUGCCAGCAGCCGCGGUAAUACGUAGGGAGCGAGCGUUGUCCGGAAUUACUGGGCGUAAAGGGUGCGUAGGCGGCAUAUUAAGUCAGGUGUGAAAUACUCGGGCUCAACCCGAGGGCUGCACUUGAAACUGGUAAGCUUGAGUGUGAGAGAGGAAAGUGGAAUUCCUAGUGUAGCGGUGAAAUGCGUAGAUAUUAGGAGGAACACCAGUGGCGAAGGCGACUUUCUGGCUCAUAACUGACGCUGAGGCACGAAAGCGUGGGGAGCAAACAGGAUUAGAUACCCCCGUAGUC
rnacentral:rRNA from 1 species